rnacentral:lncRNA from 1 species
GUUUUAGUAGCUGCACAUCUGUGGAUGGCCAUGAGUAAUCAUCUCGCGCUGGUUAGGAUUAGGCUGCUGGAGGGGGCGACCCUCAGGCUUUCAAGUACAACGGACGCACCUUGACCUUGGGACGUGGGGGCCUGCACACCUUCCAUAGAAGAGCAGGGAGCUUAAUAAGGUUUGUCUUCUCCUGAGGAAGUGGAUGCCAUGUGUCACUUUGCAGAUGGAUCAAGUGCAGGAGGUGCCUGUUGGAGACGCAGAGCUCUGCAGCAGCAGACACCGCUUCCUGGAGCUGUUCUGUGCAGAAGUUGAGUGAAGAUACUGCAGCGAGCCCUGGGUCUGAACGCCUGUGUGCUGACUCUAGACCUGCUCCUCAGCCCCAGUUUUCUCUGAAAAACCAGGAUUCUAGCACAACUCGUACCCCCAUUCUUUUCAGUCCUGCACCCACCAGCGAGCCGCAAGGCCCAGGAGCUACUGGCCCUGUUUUCCUGUCUCCAGUACUGGCCUUUGAUUUAUGAGAUGUCCCCUGUCUCCCCUGCUUCUGACCUCCCAGGAUGGCAUUUGGUGAUUUCUUGAUGUUCUCUUGCUUUGGCAUUAAAAUAUGGAUGGGAGUGUCAUUUCCAGAUCUUUUCCAGACCUGUGCAAUUCUUUCCAUUCUUCAUAACAGCCCAUGACCCACCUUCCUCUGUUUCAGCCACAAAGCUAGCCAUGCCUGUGUGCGCACUGCUGUUUCUCAUUGUUAAUAUUUUAACUGUUAUUAAAAAAAAAACUUUCUUUUAAACUGUGUGUGUAUGGUUUUAAAAAUUGACGCACUUCCAGAGCUCUCAACUUCUGCAGUCUUUCUGAGGUCCGUGUUCCUCUUCUUCAGCUGGGAAGCAAAUGCUUGACUU